GGAUUUUGCACGCACUUUGGAGAUUUUGGGAGAGCUGAACGGAUACAUCAUCUAUAAGGUCAACAAUGUGGAAACAGACGGUUACAAAGAUCAUGAAGAGGCGUUCCGGAAAGGAGUGCGUCUGGGAUGUAGUGAAAUUUCGGACGUCCUGAAUAAGUUGAAAGCGGGAACUAUCCAAGCAGCGAUGGACAAGGCAAUCACAAGCAAAUCUGCGGAAAAGGUCACUCUUGCCGGACCUGCUUAUUCCAUACCGAGGAUUUUUGGAUGUAGCUCGCAUUGUACAGGACAGCUUCUGGGGUCCUGAGGGAGUGUCCAUGGAUACGUAGGCUAACAGCAUUUGACUUGUGUAACAUAAUGCACUAUUUCGAUUUACUAUGUUUUUGGUCUUUUUACUAAUGACA